ACCUUAGAUAGGUCAGUCAGUAGAGCUUGAGACUCCUAAUCUCAGGGUCAUGGGUUUGAGCCCCACAUUGGGCA